rnacentral:rRNA from 1 species
AUGACCCCUGUGGAUUUGACCCUACCUACACGCGGAGCCAAUCCCCUAGCAGUCCUGCCACCACGCCGCAGAACAGGAGCUCAUGUGGAACCUUGGAUUUAUGGCGUAACAGCCGAGCCGAUUGUUGCAGAUGAUUGGCUCUACAAGAUUGGGAGAGAGCUGACAACUGCAGGAUGCAUAGAUGCAUAG